UUCAAUUGAUAUUGAUUAUUAAUCACGUUUCCCCACCUUGAUGACACCUCAUAUUUGAACUUUCUCAGCCUCGAUAGUCUCACAACUCACAUAAGAAUGUAACAAAAGUUUGCCAACUUUAGCCAGCUAACCUUCACGAAACUUGAACCAAUUUUUUCAGUAACAUUAAGCUAAAACUUAACUAGCGCAGUAUCGAUAGCAUAGUUAACUUAACUACGACUCCUUCGGCAGUGAAAAAUCUAAAUGAUGUCUGGUUGGUCAUUCAACGGCACAAUGCAUUGAAAGACUUAACGUUAAAGUUUCACAUUAACUAAGGAAACAUGAGAGCUCGGCGAGGGAUAGAGCGUCCACAGACGGGACCGAACAGCAUGCUACACAUCGAUUGACAGAUCUGAGUAGCAGCAGCUAGCGUACUGUGGAAACUUUAUGAUGUCCAAGUUGGUGAAAUCUCUUUGCCUGUGAAUAGAACGCCAUCAGCAACUAUGGAGGACAAUGCAUGCAUGGUUUUAAAAAGUUUGAGUUCUGAAAUCAGUUGAUAAUGAGAUAUGGAUGGUAUCUUUCAAAAUAUGGUAGCCUACAUGCUGUCUAAUACUCCCCCCUUGUACUCCACCCCACCCCAGUAGUGUUAGGAGGCUCGUAGACAGGUGUCUUAAGGGAAGUCAGCCAUCCAGUACAAAUCAAGCUAGAGAAAGCCUGAAGUAUUGAUCACAGAUGUCAGAUUGUGUCUUCCUCAUCGUAUAACACUUCUUUCAAUCAGACCGUGGUUAGCAUCUGAACUGAGCCGCUUUACGAAGCAACGAUCCACCAUCACCGAACACAAAGGAGAAAUUUGGGGUUCAUCUGAGGUAGCAUCUCCCUGCCGCCCCAUAAAAAUUGACUGGUGCCUUAUGAGAAGGCUGCCUGCCACUGGUGCUGCUGACGUGCGUAGCCUACUCCGCUGAAGAGAUGGGCUGAUCCAUGGCCCCGUUAUUUUUACAUAAUCACUGAGUGGGAGGCUGGUGCUGAGAGAAGGGGGCUCAAGCAGUGGGCGAGAGAGACAGAGAGAGAGAGAGAGAGAGAGAGAGUUCGGAGCCACUGAGAUGUGUGGGCAGACACCCUCAACAAAUGGAUACCAGUGCCUCAGCAUCUCAGUGUAGGGGAGGAAACUAUAAAAAAAGGGAGUUAUGUAAAUACUCUUCAAAGCAUUGGUGACACACACACACCGGAUAUGGUUAUGAACUCCAGCAAUGCAAAAAUAUCCACAGAUUUUU